UACGUAGGGGGCUAGCGUUGUCCGGAUUUAUUGGGCGUAAAGAGCGUGUAGGCGGCCAAGUAGGUCUGGUGUGAAAACUCGAGGCUUAACCUCGAGAUGUCAUCGGAAACCAUCUGGCUAGAGUCCGGAAGAGGAGAGUGGAAUUCCUGGUGUAGCGGUGAAAUGCGCAGAUAUCAGGAAGAACACCAAUUGCGAAGGCAGCUCGCUGGGACGUUACUGACGCUGAGACGCGAAAGCGUGGGGAGCAAACAGG
rnacentral:rRNA from 1 species